rnacentral:rRNA from 1 species
GACGAACGCUGGCGGCGUGCUUAACACAUGCAAGUCGAACGGAAAGGCCCUGCUUUUGUGGGGUGCUCGAGUGGCGAACGGGUGAGUAACACGUGAGUAACCUGCCCUUGACUUUGGGAUAACUUCAGGAAACUGGGGCUAAUACCGGAUAGGAGCUCCUGCUGCAUGGUGGGGGUUGGAAAGUUUCGGCGGGUGGGGGUGGACUCGCGGCUUAUCAGCUUGUUGGUGGGGUAGUGGCUUACCAAGGCUUUGACGGGUAGCCGGCCUGAGAGGGUGAACGGCCACAAUGGGACUAAGGUACGGCCCAGACUCGUACGGGAGACAGCAGUGGGGAGUCUUGCCCAAUGGGAGGGAGUCUGAUAAGGAGACGCCGCGUGCGGAAUGCCGGCUUUCGGGUUGAAAAACGCUUCAGCCUGUGACGAAGCGUGAGUGACGGUAAUGGGUGAAGAAGCACCGGCUAACUACGUG